rnacentral:rRNA from 1 species
GACGAACGCUGGCGGCGUGCCUAAUACAUGCAAGUCGAACGAGAGCGACCGGUGCUUGCACUGGUCAAUCUAGUGGCGAGCGGGCGAGUAACACGUGGGUAACCUGCCCAUCAGAGGGGGAUAACAUCCGGAAACGGAUGCUAAAACCGCAUAGGUCUUCGAGCCGCAUGGCUUGAAGAGGAAAAGAGGCGCAAGCUUCUGCUGAUGGAUGGACCCGCGGUGCAUUAGCUAGUUGGUGAGGUAACGGCUCACCAAGGCCGUGAUGCAUAGCCGAACUGAGAGGGUGAUCGGCCACCUUGGAACUGAAACACGGCCCAAACUCCUAAGGGAGGCCGCAGUAGGGAAUCUUCCGCAAUGGAAGGAAGUCUGACGGAGCAACGCCGAGUGAGUGAAGAAGGUUUUCCGAUCGUAAAACUCUGUUGUUAGAGAAGAACAAGUGCUAGAGUAACUGUUAGCGCCUUGACGGUAUCUAACCAGAAAGCCACGGCUAACUACGUG